GAUGAACGCUGGCGGCGUGCCUAAUACAUGCAAGUCGAGCGAACAGAUGAGGAGCUUGCUCCUCUGACGUUAGCGGCGGACGGGUGAGUAACACGUGGAUAACCUACCUAUAAGACUGGUAUAACUUCGGGAAACCGGAGCUAAUACCGGAUAAUAUAUUGAACCGCAUGGUUCCUUAGUGAAAGACGGUUUUGCUGUCUCUUAUAGAUGGAUCCGCGCCGCAUUAGCUAGUUGGUAAGGUAACGGCUUACCAAGGCAACGAUGCGUAGCCGACCUGAGAGGGUGUUCGGCAACACUGGAACUGAGACACGGUCGAGACUCCUACGGGAGGCAGCAGUAGGGAAACGUCCGCAAUGGGCAAAAGCUUGACGGAGCAACGCCGCGAGAAUGAUGAAGGUCUUAAGAUCGUAAAACUCUGUUAUUAGGGAAGAACAAAUGUGUAAGUAACUAUGCACGACUUGACGGUACCUAAUCAGAAAGCCACGGCUAACUACGUG
rnacentral:rRNA from 1 species